rnacentral:lncRNA from 1 species
CCCGAUCCCUUGUUCCUUAAUUUCUUCUACCCCGAUCUCUUUUUAACUAUCUCUAUGUUUCUUGUGUUUCUGAUUCACCGGAUGAUCCAUUAAGCUUACAACAUCCUCUAUUUAUACAAACUUUUAGAAGUUCCACAUUUCGUACGAAUGUCCCAUUUUCCUAUUUCACCUACAAAAUUAACUGACUGAUCUUUGUGCAAGCAUAUUGAAGUUAAGCUUUGAAGUGAGAUGUUGCAAAACAAAGUUAAAA